rnacentral:rRNA from 1 species
GUAGUCAUAUGCUUGUCUCAAAGAUUAAGCCACGCAUGUCUAAGUAUAAGCAAUUACAAAGCGAAACUGCGAAUGGCUCAUUAUAUAAGUUAUCGUUUAUUUGAUAGUACCUUACUACAUGGAUACCCGUGGUAAUUCUAGAGCUAAUACAUGCUGAAAAUCCCGACUUCGGAAGGGAUGUAUUUAUUAGAUACAAAACCAAUGCCCUUCGGGGCUCUCUUGGUGAUUCAUGAUAACUUCUCGAAUCGCACGGCCCCGCGCCGGCGAUGGUUCAUUCAAAUUUCUUCCCUAUCAACUUUCGAUGCUACGGUAUUGUCCUAGCAUGGUUGCAACGGGUAACGGGGAAU